GGUCAAGGUGGUGCAGACACAGCAGAUGGAGGAGAAUGUCCUUGGCCUUCUGAGACGAGAGAUCAGCCUACAAUGAUCUGAACCAGGGAGCACCAGCAAAGCUGGUCGUUCUCCCCUACAGGCGUAUUAUUGCUGUUAUUAUUGGCUGGCAUGGUGUGACUCAUCAGAGGUAAAAAAAAAAGAAAUAGACACCAGGCAACUUUGAGCUUGGGCACGCA
rnacentral:lncRNA from 1 species